UACGUAGGGGGCAAGCGUUGUCCGGAAUCAUUGGGCGUAAAGAGCGUGUAGGCGGCUCGGUAAGUCCGCUGUGAAAGUCCAGGGCUCAACCCUGGAAUGCCGGUGGAAACUGUCGGGCUCGAGUCCGGAAGAGGAGUGUGGAAUUCCUGGUGUAGCGGUGAAAUGCGCAGAUAUCAGGAGGAACACCAAUGGCGAAGGCAGCACUCUGGGACGUGACUGACGCUGAGACGCGAAAGCGUGGGGAGCAAACAGG
rnacentral:rRNA from 1 species